rnacentral:rRNA from 1 species
GCAGUAGGUGGGAGGCUCCGGCCGAACCUGAAAUACCACCGUCUCCGUCGUUGUUCUUCUCAGUUUGGUGGUGUAGGGAUGGGGCGAAGCCCCUUUUUCUGGAGACGGCCGCGACGCGCGCCGUCCGGCUCCGUCGCUCGCGCGAGCGAGCGCGGGGUCCGGCAGGCCUCCGCCCGCGGCGCCUAAUCCGAAGACGUCGUUCGGUGGGGAGUUUGGCUGGGGCGGCACAUCCGUUAAAAGGCAACGCGGGUGUCCAAAGGGGAGCUCGGCGAGAAGGGAAAUCUCGCGUCGAACGAAAGGGUAAAAGCUCCCUUGAUUCCGAUCUUCAGUACUGAUACGAACCUCGAAAGAGUGGCCUAGCGAUCCUUUGGUCGUUCGCGACCUGAAGCCAGAGGUGUCAGAAAAGUUACCAAAAGGGGAUAACUGGCUUGUGGCGGCCAAGCGUUCUUAGCGACGUCGCUUUUUUGAUCCUUCGAUGUCGGCUCUUCCUAUCAUUGUGAAGCAGAAUUCACCAAGUGUUGGAUUGUUCACCCUUCGAAAGGGAAC